rnacentral:lncRNA from 1 species
UGAGUCAUCCCUCCCAGAGCAGGAAGAGCAGAGGUUCUGGGAAACAACCCCAAGGAGAGAGACAGGGCAUUUAUAAAACAGCAUGUAAGCAUCUCUGCAGUUGCUGUCCCCAGAGCCCACUUCCUGGAUAUUGCCAGCUGCCUGGACCAACCUUUCCGAAAGAUCAGCCAGGUCACAGUGAGGGUCAAAGCAGGAGGCCACUGGAGGCUCCAAGGGCUCUGAAAUGUUGAGAACUUCCCUGCAGGUACCAGCGAAGAGGGCAAGAACACAGCACUACUUCCUUGGAUACUGUUUCCCUCCUCAGAGGGGUUUUCUGAGCUGCCCUGGGUCCUGUGAGGAAGAUCUCCCCUUCCUGUAAAGACACCAGUCCUACUGGAUCAGGGCCCACCCGUGUGACUUCACUUUUACUUGAGUACCUCUCACAGACCCUAACUCCAAAUCAGGUCACUUGCUGAGGUACUGCAUGUGAAGACUUUGACAUUUGAAUUUUGAGGGGGCCACCGUUUAACCUGAACCACCAAGGACAGAGCCAAAGACCCUGGGUGACAGGCCCAGAACAGGACCUGGUGGAGGCUCUUCUUUAGGGGAGAGAGGGAAAUGGGAGCCACCACUGGCAGAGCCUGAAGGCAGGGCAGCCAGAAAGAAGCUGUGGGAGUCCCCACCAUGGAAGACC